rnacentral:RNase_P_RNA from 1 species
CCAGCUGGCCGGGCGGCCGCGCCCGCAAGAGCCGAAAGGCUGCGGGUGAGGAAAGUCCGGGCUCCAUGGAGACACGGUGCCGGCUAACGGCCGGCGGGGGAGACCCCAGGGAAAGUGCCACAGAAAGCAAACCGCCGCGGCAUUCGCCGCGGCAAGGGUGCAAGGGUGGGG